UGCUCAGGUGGAUUUGUAAGUCAGAGGUGAAAUCCCAAAGCUUAACUUUGGUGCUGCCUUUGAUACUGCAAGUCUUGAGUUUGAGAGAGGGUAAUGGAAUAUCUGGUGUAGCAGUGAAAUGCGUAGAUAUCAGAUAGAACACCAAUGGCGAAGGCAGUUACCUGGCUCAAAACUGACGCUAAAGCACGAAAGUGUGGGGAGCAAACAGGAUUAGAUACCCUGGUAGUCCACACCCUAAACGAUGAAUACUAGAUGUUGGUUUUUAAAAAAUCAGUAUCCAAGCUAACGCAUUAAGUAUUCCACCUGGGAAGUACAAUCGCAAGGUUGAA
rnacentral:rRNA from 1 species